rnacentral:misc_RNA from 1 species
GAUGAAGAACGUAGCGAAAUGCGAUAAGUAAUGUGAAUUGCAGAAUUCAGUGAAUCAUCGAAUCUUUGAACGCACAUUGCGCCCGCCAGAAAACUGGCGGGCAUGCCUGUUCGAGCGUCAUUUCAACCAUCAAGCCCCCGGCUUGUGUUGGGGACCUGCGGCUGCCGCAGGCCCUGAAAAGCAGUGGCGGGCUCGCUGUCACACCGAGCGUAGUAGCAUACAUCUCGCUCAGGGCGUGCUGCGGGUUCCGGCCGUUAAACCACCUUCAUAACCCAAGGUUGACCUCGGAUCAGGUAGGAAGACCCGCUGAACUUAAGCAUAUCAAUAAGCGGAGGA